rnacentral:rRNA from 1 species
AGCAAUAUUCUGGUGGCGACCGGCGCACGGGUGAGUAACACGUAUGCAACCUACCUGUAAGAGGGGAAUAACCCGGAGAAAUUCGGACUAAUACCGCAUAAUACCUUUAAGCUGCAUGGCUUAAAGGUUAAACAUUUAUGGCUUACAGAUGGGCAUGCGUAACAUUAGAUAGUUGGUGAGGUAACGGCUCACCAAGUCAACGAUGUUUAGGGGUUCUGAGAGGAAGGUCCCCCACACUGGUACUGAGACACGGACCAGACUCCUACGGGAGGCAGCAGUGAGGAAUAUUGGUCAAUGGGCGAGAGCCU